GUAUUAAGUUGAGCUAAAUUCAAUUAGAAACGUGUAUACAUGAUAAAUUUAAUUGAGCAUAGUAUUAAAGCAUAAAUGUGAAUCCUAUUAUAUACAAAACAAGUAUAUCCAACGACCCCCUAAAAAGAGCUGGUAACUCUAACUAAGUUUUCAAUUUCAAUUCUAUCAUCAAUUCGUCGGUAUUGCAUAUUGCGUAAGGACUUGAUUGAGUCUGAGUUGGCUUUACCACUAUAUUUCUCUGAACUCUUUGUAAGAUUCUUAAGAAAUGUAUUUGAAGGUGAUGUAAGCAUUUGGAUGACCAAUUGCUUCUUUAGAUUAAUGCACUCAAACUGUAAUAACAAUGUUAACAAAGAUUAUAAAUUAUAAAAAGACAAAAAUAUCAAAA